GCUGGGUGUGUGGUGGUGCACACCUGUAAUCCCAGUAGCUGGGGAGGCUGAGGCAGGAGAAUCGUAGGUUCAAAGCCAGGCUCAGCAACUUAGUGAGGCACUUAGCAACUCAGUGAGACCCUGUCUCUA
rnacentral:sRNA from 1 species